rnacentral:tRNA from 1 species
GCCCUCUUAGCUCAGUGGUUAGAGCACUGAUCUCGUAAGCCAGGGGUCGAAAGUUCGAUUCUCUCCGGGGGUA